GAUGAACGCUGGCGGCGUGCUUAACACAUGCAAGUCGAACGAGAAGUGAAGACGGAAACCUUCGGGCGGAAGGCUUUAUUUCGAGUGGCGGACGGGUGAGUAACGCGUGGGUAACCUGCCUCAUACAGGGGGAUAACAGUUGGAAACGACUGUUAAUACCGCAUAAGACCACAGCACCGCAUGGUGCGGGGGUAAAAACUCCGGUGGUAUGAGAUGGACCCGCGUUCGAUUAGCCGGUUGGCAGGGUAACGGCCCACCAAAGCGACGAUCGAUAGCCGAUCUGAGAGGAUGACCGGCCACAUUGGGACUGAGACACGGCCCAAACUCCUACGGGAGGCAGCAGUGGGGAAUAUUGCACAAUGGGGGAAACCCUGAUGCAGCGACGCCGCGUGAGUGAAGAAGUAUUUCGGUAUGUAAAGCUCUAUCAGCAGGGAAGAAAAUGACGGUACCUGAGUAAGAAGCCCCGGCUAACUACGUG
rnacentral:rRNA from 1 species